GCAGCCUUUCAGAUUGAGCCUAUGUUGAAUUGCUCAUUCAGCAGAUUCAAUUACAAAUAUUAACGAUGAAAUCAAUCUGUGCGAUAACCAUUUGGACAGAUGUCACGCUAAUGGUGCCAAUAAGAGCGGGACGGAGAUGAUAGUGAGGACAUGACCAUUGGUGACCACUCUGACACUGGCAGUGAUAAAGACAUCAAGGACAAUGUCUAUGGGGCCAUUGGAAAAAGCUUGACCACCAGGG
rnacentral:lncRNA from 1 species